CAUAUUCACCAUAUUCACACGGCGGCCAUCUUUCUAUGACGUCAUGCUCAGGGUGGGAAUCCUCUGGGGAAGUCCAAACAUAAUAGCUCAAAAACUGUCAGCUGUCCGGUGUUUGUGAUUAGCCCAAUUACAUAUGGCAAGAUGGUCCAAAAACGUAACCUAUCUACCAGCCUUGACAUGCCAAGAAAUCGAAACAUGGACAGAUGAACAGGUCAGCACCUCUAAAUGAAUUAAGAAAAAAGGAUACAGCAACUGGAUUGAACGUUAUAUCCACGAUGUUAAAGGUUGAAUUGAUCAGCGGAUUCAACAAACCAGCUGUGCCUGUGAAGCACGUCUCGGGCACUGCUCACACCUUGUUGGCCUCCUGUAUACUCUUGCUCAUUACUCUAAAUUAGGAUACAAAUCAGUCCCCCUAACCAAAUGUAAGACCUCCUUACCCCAAACUUGGCACAUCCCUUCUUGAGAAUUAGGCCUAGGGCCCAAACCUGUCACUCUUAAAAAUUAACAAGGUCAAAUCCAACAAGACCUACAGUUGUCACACUUAAGUAAAAAAAGAUUAUGGCCAUGGCCUACUUGAAAUCAAAUGCCCAAACCAAGAGUCAAACUGCUCAUACCUGAGAAGAACAGUGGAUAGAACCUUUUCCUUCAAGCAUGACCAUGAAUAUCACUCACAAGUCAUGGGACAGAUGGCUCUUACAGGAGCAAAAUGGUUUAAUUUUUUUUUUGUAAUGUGCCAGGAGGAUUACUAUCUGGAGAGAGUGCACUUUGAUGCUGUCUUAAGUGGCCACAGCCCCAUUGUUAUGUACAUAAACUUUAUCAUUAAAAAUGUAUUUCUUCAUCUGUA